CCAUUUUAAGCACGACUGUCAAUGAGGAUGUCAGAAUGACACAUUUGAUUAUGUAAAAUCAUCCCCAGCCAUGUAUAUGGUACAGACUGACAUAAAGGAGCUGGUUUUCCCCACGAUCACACUGGUCAUAUCGCACAUCUGGCUUCAGCCAAUCAGGAUAUUUCUGUUGAUGAUUUUGCACCAUGAUAAGCAAGCCUGGACAUGUUUGAGAACAUGAUGUCAAAUAUAGGUAUGUAUCUCACUUUCAGUCGCACUUUCUCACUCUCUUCUCCCUCAUUUCCUUCAGCUCUCUCUCUCUCCUCGUGUCCUCUGUGUGAUGUAAUGUAAAGCAGAAAUGGUGUCGACUCUUUGACCUUGCCUUAAAUCUUCAGACUGAGAACGAGAGAGGUUGUAAAAAAUGUUGUAUUACCUCACUCUCCUCUACUGCUCUCUUUCUCUCUGUAAUUGUAGGAGGGGUUGAAAAGUGUGCGGUGUAAAUCUUAUCGUGUUCAACCAGGCCUGUUUGUUCUGACUGACAUCAUGUCUUAACCCCAGAUGGCUCCACUUCAACCAAGUUCCUCCUCACGCACCUCCUGAGGUUGUAUACAUCUGACACACGCAUGCACGUUCACGCUCCAGUAGAGGAUAGCUGGUGACGAAUUAAUGGUACAGUGAGCUUCUAAUUACCCCUGGAUCACAAUGCUAAGGAGCAACACACACACAGUGCCGCAGUCUUUGUCUGACUGCUGUGAAAGUCCGAUGGCUCAGGAAUACUAAUCCCACUCGCAUGUCAUUUGGACGGACCAGAGGAGCAGCUAAUGGGGCAGGCGAGAUGAGGAGGAGACACUGUCGAUGGCUGUGUGGCAGUGUGUGUGAGUGGCAGAGUCCUCCCAGCCACAGAGAUAAAGAUUAGCAAAGGCCGAGCUGAACACAGAGGUCCAUUUACUGCACAUGGCACUGCACAUCAUCCCGCUACUGCUGCCAGUGAAAAACAGGUAAUUCUUCACUACUCUUUAUUAAUAUUUAUGCAUUCAUAUCCCUCCAAAAUUGUUAGACCUCAAUUUGGAAUGCUUUUCUCUGUUUCGUUCUCCCAAUUUCAGCCACAUGACCUCCAAAACUCUGACUUUUGGUUUAGCCUUUUUCUGGCGCUGUCACAGAGACAUGAAUUUACGUGAUAUCUGACAGUUUGCAGUAUAAUUGAUAAAAAAUAAUUGUUAAUAAUAAAGUGUUUUAAAUAAUUGUUUAAUGUCAAGUCACCUUUAUUUAUAUAGCGCUUUAUACGAUGUCAAAGCAGCUUUACAGUGUCAAACAGGAAAAUAGUUUGUCAAUAAUGCAAGAGGACAAUAACAAAGUCAAUUUUUGAGUUAAGGUCAUUGAUGAUUCAGGGAUGUCAUCAUCCAGUUCAGUUAAAGCACAUUUACAUCAAAGCUCAACAAGCCUGGAAUAUCCAAGAGCAAAACAUGCAUCAGAUCACUGCAGUGACAAAACCUUCUUUGUUGCAUUAAGACCAUAAAAUGUGC
ensembl:lncRNA